rnacentral:rRNA from 1 species
UGCAGUCGACGGUGUCUUCGGACAUAGUGGCGGACGGGUGAGUAACGCGUGAGAAUCUGCCUUCAGGUUGGGGACAACAGUUGGAAACGACUGCUAAUACCCAAUGUGCCGAGAGGUGAAAGCUUUAGUGCCUGAAGAUGAGCUCGCGUCUGAUUAGCUAGUUGGUGGGGUAAUGGCUUACCAAGGCGACGAUCAGUAGCUGGUCUGAGAGGAUGAUCAGCCACACUGGGACUGAGACACGGCCCAGACUCCUACGGGAGGCAGCAGUGGGGAAUUUUCCGCAAUGGGCGCAAGCCUGACGGAGCAAGACCGCGUGAGGGAGGAAGGCUCUUGGGUUGUAAACCUCUUUUAUCAGGGAAGAAGAUCUGACGGUACCUGACGAAUCAGCAUCGGCUAACUCCGUGCCAGCAGCCGCGGUAAUACGGAGGAUGCAAGCGUUAUCCGGAUUUAUUGGGCGUAAAGCGUCCGCAGGUGGUUUUUCAAGUCUGCUGUUAAAGCGCGAGGCUUAACUUCGUAACGGCGGUGGAAACUGAGAGACUAGAGUAUGGUAGGGGUAGCGGGAAUUCCCAGUGUAGCGGUGAAAUGCGUAGAUAUUGGGAAGAACACCAGCGGCGAAAGCGCGCUACUGGGCCAUAACUGACACUCAUGGACGAAAGCUAGGGAGCGAAAGGGAUUAGAUACCCCUGUAGUCCUAGCUGUAAACGAUGGGUACUAGGUGUUGACCGUAUCGACCCGGUCAGUGCCGUAGCUAACGGCGUUAAGUACCCCGCUGGGGGAGUUAUGCACGCAAGUGGUGAACUCAAAGGAAUGACGGGGGCCCGCACAAGCGUGACUACAG